CCCUUCUCUAGGUCCCUGCAGAAGUGACCUUCCUGAGGCAGCUGUUCGGAUACAUGCAGAGCACAGCGCCCUGCUCAGAAAGGAAGGUUCAGAGAACAAAUUGUCGUUUAAAACUAUUGGGACAAACCUACCUCUUCUAAAGCUUAAAAUGGUCUCCAGCGUACCAGGAUUUGUGAAGGCCUGAAGUUCGUAGAAUGAAAUCUAUGUGGAGAUGAUUUAAAAGAACGGUUUCACUGCUAAAAUCCUUUCGAAAUGAGUUCCUUUAAGUUCUUCAGUAACUAAAUCCUCCAGAAAGGAAAGCCGAGAGAAUCUAGUCCUAUACAAUAACACCCUCUAACAAAGAUCGCUAAAGGAAGAUUUUAGUAGAUGAAUAUCUUCAAUAAUACAUGGUCACAUACAUGUAUCUGACCAUAUGAUGGCUCUCUGCACCAAAUUCCUCCAAACUAUUAUAAUAUGUAUUGUCUGUAGUGCUAUUUAUUUGGCAGUUAAUCAUGUAUUACAUUGUGACAUUUCUUACAGUGAACCAUUAUGUAUGUGUUUAUGUUCUGCCCUCAACUACUCAAUGCCAGUACCUUAUUCUUAACACAGCAACCACCCUUUCUGGUCUGUCCUCACACCCUCAUUCCCAUCAUAGUUAUUCUCCUCUCUCAUGGAAAUGUUCAGUUUCUGGACAUCUCCUUUCUCUUCCAUUCUUCACCUGACCUUCCUUCCUUUCUUGGCCAGCCUGAAUAUUAUAAAGGGAAUUUUAUUUCAAACCCAGGAUCGCACUUAAGAGGAAAAGAAACAAAAGCCAGUUCUUUUUAUUGCACAUAGAACAAGGAGAAACUCCACCCCUUUUGUUGUCUGGUAUGUUUAAAACAAGAAAGAACUUUAGAAAAGUAGGAUAUGAGUGAAAAUUACAACCAAUGUUGAGAACUACUUUUUAAUUUUUUAUUACAAAAUUAGGAUGAUACUUCAUUAAACAUUGUACAUCAUUUCAAAACUGUUAUCUCAUAAUCAUGUUGCUUGUUUUGAAUUAUUCUUUUAAAGUGUAAUUUUUUUAAGCAAAGAAUCCAUAAAAUUACAUGGCUUGGAUGUACCAUAACUUACUUAAUCCUUAUGCUAUUGUUUAAUAUGUGGGUUGUUUCAGAUUUUUCAUGAUUGUAAAUAACAAAAUAAACUUCCUUAUACUUAA
rnacentral:lncRNA from 1 species